GUUGUCGUCGAGGAUAUUAUGGAGUGAAUUGCAGUAACGCCUGUCCUUAUCCAUAUUUUGGAGAAAGCUGCCUUAGCCUCUGCAAUUGCAGUUUCAAUACUUGUAAUAUUAGCACUGGAUGCACCGACACUCAUCUUGGUGCUGACAGCAACAAUCGGGGAAACAAUAAUUUCUUCUUGCGCAUAUCUAUUGCCGUAGUUGGUGUUAUCGUGGCAAUAAUGUUGGUACUUUACUUGCUCCUUGAGAAAGCUCAGAAAACAAAUAACAUCAUUUACAACAGCGAAGAAAUUUUAAUUGAAAAUGACCAAGAUGAAAUUAUUGUACAAGACAAUCAACUUGAGUAAGAUAUUUGCGAACUUGUAGUUCAUGUUU